UACGUAGGGUGCGAGCGUUAAUCGGAAUUACUGGGCGUAAAGCGUGCGCAGGCGGUUCGUUAUGUCCGUUGUGAAAGCCCCGGGCUCAACCUGGGAAUGGCAAUGGAAACUGGCGGGCUAGAGUGUGGCAGAGGGGGGUAGAAUUCCACGUGUAGCAGUGAAAUGCGUAGAGAUGUGGAGGAACACCGAUGGCGAAGGCAGCCCCCUGGGUCAAGAUUGACGCUCAUGCACGAAAGCGUGGGGAGCAAACAGG
rnacentral:rRNA from 1 species